rnacentral:rRNA from 1 species
CACGCCGUAAACUAUGAUUACUCGCUGUUGGCGAUAUAUUGUCAGCGGCUGAGCGAAAGCAUUAAGUAAUCCACCUGGGGAGUACGAUCGCAAGGUUGAAACUCAAAGGAAUUGACGGGGGCCCGCACAAGCGGAGGAACAUGUGGUUUAAUUCGAUGAUACGCGAGGAACCUUACCUGGGCUUAAAUGUAGAGCGACAGAUCGGGAAACUGGUCCUUCUUCGGACGAUCUACAAGGUGC